rnacentral:rRNA from 1 species
AUUGAACGCUGGCGGCAUGCUUUACACAUGCAAGUCGAACGGCAGCACGGGUGCUUGCACCUGGUGGCGAGUGGCGGACGGGUGAGUAAUACAUCGGAACGUGUCCAGAAGAGGGGGAUAACGCAUCGAAAUAUGUGCUAAUACCGCAUAUGCUCUGAGGAGGAAAGUAGGGGGAUCGAAAGACCUUACGCUUUUGGAGCGGCCGAUGUCUGAUUAGCUAGUUGGUGGGGUAAGGGCCUACCAAGGCGACGAUCAGUAGUUGGUCUGAGAGGACGACCAGCCACACUGGGACUGAGACACGGCCCAGACUCCUACGGGAGGCAGCAGUGGGGAAUUUUGGACAAUGGGCGCAAGCCUGAUCCAGCAAUGCCGCGUGAGUGAAGAAGGCC